rnacentral:rRNA from 1 species
UGGGGAAUAUUGGACAAUGGGCGAAAGCCUGAUCCAGCCAUGCCGCGUGUGUGAAGAAGGUCUUCGGAUUGUAAACUCCUGUUAGGGGGGACGAAGGGAUGUCGGCGAACAGCCGGCAAACUUGACGGUACCCCCAGAGGAAGCCCCGGCUAACUCUGUGCCAGCAGCCGCGGUAAUACAGAGGGGGCAAGCGUUAAUCGGAAUUACUGGGCGUAAAGCGCGCGUAGGUGGUUUGUUAAGUUGGAUGUGAAAUCCCCGGGCUCAACCUGGGAACUGCAUUCAAAACUGACUGACUAGAGUAUGGUAGAGGGUGGUGGAAUUUCCUGUGUAGCGGUGAAAUGCGUAGAUAUAGGAAGGAACACCAGUGGCGAAGGCGACCACCUGGACUAAUACUGACACUGAGGUGCGAAAGCGUGGGGAGCAAACAGGAUUAGAUACCCCUGUAGUCCCUGAGCGGGCUGGCAAGGCGCAU